rnacentral:ncRNA from 1 species
CCUUGGUGACUCUGGAUAACUUUGCGGAUCGCACGGUCUAGCACCGGCGACGGAUCAUUCAAGUGUCUGCCCUAUCAACUUUCGUCGGUACGGUAUUUGCCUACCGAGGUUCUUACGGGUGACGGGGAAUCAGGGUUCGAUUCCGGAGAGGGAGCCUGAGAAACGGCUACCACAUCCAUAGAAGGCAGCAGGCGCGCAAAUUACCCAUUCCCGACGCGGGGAGGUAGUGACGAAAAAUAACAAUGCAGGACUCGUUCGAGGCCCUGUAAUUGGAAUGAGUACACUUUAAAAGCUUUAACGAGUAUCCAUUGGAGGGCAAGUCUGGUGCCAGCAGCCGCGGUAAUUCCAGCUCCAAAAGUAUAUAUUUAAGUUGUUGCGGUUAAAAAGCUCGUAGUUGGAUUUUGGGCGCAGGCGGCCGGUCCGUCGCAAGGCGUGUACUGGACGUCCUGGCCUUCCCUCCGGUUCUCCGCCGGUGCUCUUGACUGAGUGUCGGCGGCGGCCGGAACGUUUACUUUGAAAAAAUUAGAGUGUUCAAAGCAGGCUCUCGAGCCUGGAUAAUGGUGCAUGGAAUAAUGGAAUAGGACCUCGGUUCUAUUUUGUUGGUUUUCGGAGCGCGAGGUAAUGAUUAAGAGGGACAGACGGGGGCAUUCGUACUGUGCCGUUAGAGGUGAAAUUCUUGGAUCGGCGCAAGACGAACGACUGCGAAAGCAUUUGCCAAGAAUGUUUU